rnacentral:misc_RNA from 1 species
GAUGAAGAACGUAGCGAAAUGCGAUAAGUAAUGUGAUUUGCAGAAUUCAGUGAAUCAUCGAAUCUUUGAACGCACAUUGCGCCCGCCAGUAUUCUGGCGGGCAUGCCUGUUCGAGCGUCAUUUCAACCAUCAAGCCCCAGGCUUGUGUUGGGGACCUGCGGCUGCCGCAGGCCCUGAAAACCAGUGGCGGGCUCGCUGUCACACCGGGCGUAGUAGAUUUUAUCUCGCUCAGGGCGUGCUGCGGGUUCCGGCCGUUAAAAAGCCUUUUUUACCCAAGGUUGACCUCGGAUCAGGUAGGAAGACCCGCUGAACUUAAGCAUAUCAAUAAGCGGAGGA